GACGAACGCUGGCGGCGUGCCUAAUACAUGCAAGUAGAACGCACAGUUUAUACCGUAGCUUGCUACACCAUAGACUGUGAGUUGCGAACGGGUGAGUAACGCGUAGGUAACCUGCCUGGUAGCGGGGGAUAACUAUUGGAAACGAUAGCUAAUACCGCAUAAUAUUGAUUAUUGCAUGAUAAUUGAUUGAAAGAUGCUAUUGCAUCACUACCAGGUGGACCUGCGUUGUAUUAGCUAGUAGGUGAGGUAACGGCUCACCUAGGCGACGAUACAUAGCCGACCUGAGAGGGUGAUCGGCCACACUGGGACUGAGACACGGCCCAGACUCCUACGGGAGGCAGCAGUAGGGAAUCUUCGGCAAUGGACGAAAGUCUGACCGAGCAACGCCGCGUGAGUGAAGAAGGUUUUCGGAUCGUAAAGCUCUGUUGUAAGAGAAGAACGGGUGUGAGAGUGGAAAGUUCACACUGUGACGGUAUCUUACCAGAAAGAGACGGCUAACUACGUG
rnacentral:rRNA from 1 species